AUGCUCACUUUGGUAGCGUGUCUAAUAAAAACUUAGAAUGAUACAGAGAAUGCUGACAUGGCCACUGCAUCAGGAUGACAUGCAAAUUCAUAAAGUGUUCCUUAUUUUU